rnacentral:rRNA from 1 species
GACGAACGCUGGCGGCGUGCUUAACACAUGCAAGUCGAACGGAAAGGCCCUGCUUUUGUGGGGUGCUCGAGUGGCGAACGGGUGAGUAACACGUGAGUAACCUGCCCUUGACUUUGGGAUAACUUCAGGAAACUGGGGCUAAUACCGGAUAGGAGCUCCUGCUGCAUGGUGGGGGUUGGAAAGUUUCGGCGGUUGGGGAUGGACUCGCGGCUUAUCAGCUUGUUGGUGGGGUAGUGGCUUACCAAGGCUUUGACGGGUAGCCGGCCUGAGAGGGUGACCGGGCAAGUGGGGAAUGAGAGACGGCACAGACGGAGAGGGGGGAGGGGGGGGGGGAUGAUUGAAGGACGGGCGGAAGCGGGAUGCGGAAAGGAGGGAGGAGGGAGGACGGCCGUGGGGUGGGAGCCCGAUUUCGGCUGGGAGGAGGGGUGAGGGAAGGUAAGGGGAAAGGAACAACAGGAUAACCACGGGCCAGCAGCGGCGGUAAACAUCGAAGAGCACACUUCUGAAC